rnacentral:pre_miRNA from 1 species
CAUGGGUACCGGCAACCUCGGUGGAGGGAUUGAGGCCUCCAAUCGGUGACCCCGACCCCUCCACCGAGGUUGUCGGUGUCCUCC